GCCGGGCAUGGUGGCGUGCGCCUGUAGUCCCAGCUACUCAGGAGGCUGAGGCAGGGGGAUUGCUUGAAUCCAGGAAGCGGAGGUUGCAGUCAGCCAAGAUCACGCCACUGCACUCCAGCCUGGGUAACAGAGCGAGACUCUGUCUCAA
rfam:Pan troglodytes isolate Yerkes chimp pedigree #C0471 (Clint) chromosome 5, whole genome shotgun sequence.